UACGAAGGGGGCUAGCGUUGCUCGGAAUCACUGGGCGUAAAGGGUGCGUAGGCGGGUCUUUAAGUCAGGGGUGAAAUCCUGGAGCUCAACUCCAGAACUGCCUUUGAUACUGGAGAUCUUGAGUUCGGGAGAGGUGAGUGGAACUGCGAGUGUAGAGGUGAAAUUCGUAGAUAUUCGCAAGAACACCAGUGGCGAAGGCGGCUCAGUGGCCCGAUACUGACGCUGAGGCACGAAAGCGUGGGGAGCAAACAGG
rnacentral:rRNA from 1 species